rnacentral:rRNA from 1 species
UACGUAGGGGGCAAGCGUUAUCCGGAUUUACUGGGUGUAAAGGGGGCGCAGACGGCAGCGCAAGCCAGGAGUGAAAGCCCGGGGCCCAACCCCGGGACUGCUCUUGGAACUGCGCGGCUGGAGUGCAGGAGGGGCAGGCGGAAUUCCUGGUGUAGCGGUGAAAUGCGUAGAUAUCGCGCAGAACUCCGAUUGCGAAGGCAGCCUGCUGGACAUUAACUGACGCUGAGGCGCGAAAGCGUGGGGAGCAA